rnacentral:rRNA from 1 species
AGUGGGGAAUAUUGCACAAUGGGGGAAACCCUGAUGCAGCCAUGCCGCGUGUGUGAAGAAGGCCUUCGGGUUGUAAAGCACUUUCAGCGAGGAGGAAAGGUUGGUAGCUAAUAACUGCCAGUUGUGACGUUACUCGCAGAAGAAGCACCGGCUAACUCCGUGCCAGCAGCCGCGGUAAUACGGAGGGUGCAAGCGUUAAUCGGAAUUACUGGGCGUAAAGCGCACGCAGGCGGUUGGAUAAGUUAGAUGUGAAAGCCCCGGGCUCAACCUGGGAAUUGCAUUUAAAACUGUCCAGCUAGAGUCUUGUAGAGGGGGGUAGAAUUCCAGGUGUAGCGGUGAAAUGCGUAGAGAUCUGGAGGAAUACCGGUGGCGAAGGCGGCCCCCUGGACAAAGACUGACGCUCAGGUGCGAAAGCGUGGGGAGCAAA